CAGCCGCCGCGGUAAUACGAGGGGGGCAAGCGUUGUUCGGAUUUAUUGGGCGUAAAGGGUGCGUAGGCGGUUUGGCAAGUCUUGUGUGAAAUCUUCGGGCUCAACCCGAAGCCUGCACGAGAAACUACCGGGCUUGAGUAUUGGAGUGGUGAGUGGAAUUUCCGGUGUAGCGGUGAAAUGCGUAGAUAUCGGAAGGAACACCUGUGGCGAAAGCGGCUCACUGGACAGUAACUGACGCUGAUGCACGAAAGCUAGGGGAGCAAACAGGAUUAGAUACCCCGGUAGUCCCUGUCUCUUAUAC
rnacentral:rRNA from 1 species